UCCCCUCUGGAGGACCUUUCCCUUAAAGUCUAGAUAAAAGGUCAGCUUGAAUCCUGCUUUGACUUGUCAGGACUCAUCAAGCCAACAUCUCAAAAUGAGGUUCCCUGCUCAGCUCCUGGGGCUGCUAGUGCUUUGGUUCCCUGGAUCCGGUGCGGAUGUCGUGAUGACACAGACCCCUCUGUCCCUGCCCGUCACCCCUGGAGAGCCGGCCUCAAUCUCCUGCAGGGCCAGUCAGAGCCUCCUGCACAGUAAUGGAAACACCUAUUUACAUUGGUACCUGCAGAAGCCAGUCCAGUCUCCACGGCUCCUGAUCUAUAAGGUUUCCAACCGGGCCUCUGGGGUCCCAGACAGGUUCAGUGGCAGCGGGUCAGGGACAGAUUUCACCCUGAGAAUCAGCAGGAUGGAGGCUGACGACGUCGGAGUUUAUUACUGCUACCAAAGUACAAAGAAUCUUCCCACUGUGGUUCAGCCCAGAACACAAACCUCCCUUCCUGGGGGUCCAGCUGCCCGAGCAUGUGGCCUCUCUGGGGAACACACAGGACGUUCUCUGAGUCUGUGUAAGAGGAAGGUGCUGUAGAACCCGGGGAACAGCCUGCAGCUGCACAGUACGGCCCCGUCAGCUGCACAGCCUGGCAGGCAGCAUCAGAAGGGAAAUUCAAGAGGUCCUGUCCUGUGAGGAACCGGUCAGGGGGAAGGGAAGAGCCAAUGACAGCUGCACCUGAUCCCCGGUCCCCGCCUGUGUUUUCAAUUAAGUGCAGCCAGUCUAGUCACCAGACAAGUCACACAGAUAUUUGGUGACAAAUUCAUCCAUACUGCAGAUGAACAGUGUGGGGUAUGUUUUCCACAGCAUCGUAGUUGCUAAUAUUGGUAAUGUUGGUAUUUUCUCACUUUCUCUUUUUCUCACUUCUCUGUGACUCCCUGUCCCCUGCAUUCAUAUGUUCAAGAGAGCACUCGGCACAAGCUGUCCUCACCGAGAGUACGGAUGAGAAAGGUUAAUAACGAUGUUUAAUUCUGGUAAAAUCAAAUUAGCCUUUUGAAAAUUUUCUGUAAAUAUAAUAAGAUUCCAGUGCCAAGAUUCUUUGAUUUCCCUCCAUUACAUUUUUCAGAGUGCAAAGGGGGUUCUCGCAAUUUCAAAAGUGGGUUUUGAUACUAAACAGUGAAAAGGAAUGAUCGAGACAAAAGUUACCUUUCUGUAUCACAGGAAAAUCCAGAAUACAUGAGAUUUUUCUUUCUCUCCUCUAUGGUAAGGGUGUUAAGUAUCUUGAACGUAAACACUGCUUUGGAUAUGACGAAUUUGGAACUCUGUUGCUAUAAGAAAAGGUUUUGUACAAUACAUGAGCGCAUCGUUCCAUAUGGUGUGCUCAUUAACCAAAAAUGACCCCGAAUAAUAUAUUUUGGGGGAAUGUGUAUUAAAUUCAUGCAUUGAAUACAUCCCCUUCAAUAGCGCGCUUAAAUGUGAAUCCUGACUAAUCACGGGGUCAUACCAUUGGUUCAUGGCACAUACGACAGAAGCAAGAGAUUAAAUUCACAAGCAUCUAAUCCUAUGCCUAGUUAAGAAAAUAAGGUGUACUGGAGAUGAUCGACUCUUCCAAGAUAAUGAAUAUCAUGACAAGUACAAUUAAACCCAAUGUUUCAGUUCCGGUUGCUUUGACAGGGUGUGGAAAAAUGUAUACAGAAAUCAAACUGACUGGAGCCCACACAUCAUGGCAGCCUGAGUGAUUGGUGUGAAACUCCUUUGCUAGCAUGCAUGUUAAUCGUUAUCAAUUCAGACCUAUAAACCCACUGCUUUCUUGUCUCCCGCAAAGUUUGGUAUACGGUAUAUUCUUUCAACUCAAAAGAUGUUCCAGUUUCCCUUUUUGUUCUUUCUGGACCCGACUGUUGCUUGGUAAUUUCUUACUUGGUUUCUAAAUGUUUGGGGAUUGUUUGAUAACUUUCUGUUACUGACUUUGAAUAUUGAAAGGAACAGCUUUGAAUCCAAAUGACAGCCCUGCCUUAGUUUAAAGCUAGGUUCUCUUUUCUGCUUAUUAUGGAUCCUUGAUAAGAAAUACAAUUGCUGAGAAGUCUGUUUUGCUUGCUGUUUGCUAUGAGCAUUGUGAGACCUUUCCUGAUUGUAACCCACUGUGUAGUAGAAUGGGCUGUAAAACUUCCUAAAUGUAGUCUGAUAUGUAAUGGAAUGAGUGAUUGUAUACAAACUAACUGGCAUUUCUUGCUUCUGUAAACCUGCUUGCUUAGCACAUUCCUCACCUACCCCCUUCCCCCUUUCUUCCUCCCGCCACAAGUAAAAACCUCCCCUGUGCUAUUUGUCUCUGUCUAUAAAAACGCUAUACCAACCCUAAUCGUGGCCUCUUGCGUCACCGGCGACGAGUGCGCAGAGGACCAGGUUCGAACCUGCAAUAAACGACCCUUGCCGCUUGGCUUUGA